rnacentral:lncRNA from 10 species
AUCCGAGGUGGGGUUUUUUUUCAUUGUUUCCCCAACAAGAAAUAUGUCUUCUGUCAAAUGACACAAAUAGGAAAUGAUCUCAUGUGGUCUUUAUUUCUCUCCUUUAUGAAAAAGAAGUCAUUUUCUGAAAUCACCUUUUUAGUCAGUCUGAGGGAUCCUGACUGGUCUGUGGUAGCACACACAGCUGGUGUGGACCAUCAGCACAUGGGCUGCAAGGAAAAUCGCCCCGAUGUCCAGACAGUGGGGCCAGGUGGUUUCUGGGUUUUGGCCUAGCCCCUGCUCUUGGUCUGACUGAGCAAUACUUCCCCAGAUGUCCCUUGCCCUUCAGCCCACUGGCCCUGACCUUUGUUAGAAGUGGAUGCCCAGCAGCUUUCUGGUUGUCUGUGAAUGCCCGGUGAAGAUUCUGAACUGAUUCCUCACCAGACAGUUGCUCUGUUUGCACCACAAGGGGCUUUCCCACGUGUGAGCAGGCCUCCCACCAGCUUCAUUCCUCCAAACUCCCAAACCAGCAGCACUGUCUCCUAAGAUACAACAGGACAGGCUUUGAGGACAGAAACCCAGGGUCACGUUCCUGCUCCAUCACUUUCCAUCAGCAUGGUCUCGGGCAAGGGAAUCGUAAGCAGGUAACUGAUCAUCUGGAAACCUGGGGGACAAGAGGGAAGAAAUGACACCUAGGAUGCUCCAUCCUUUCCCUGCAUCCCUUUGUGUUCAGUUCAACAACUUGGUUCUCCUCCUGACCAGCCACUGUGCUUGGCUGAGGACACAAAGGUGAAGGAGACAGUCUAGUAUAAAACAUGACACAGACCAGACCCAAAGGGGAGGAAGAGGUCCUGUAGAAAGGUGAAGGGGCAUCAUUCACCAAGCCUCUCCAGCAUUAACCAGAGACUGCUGGAGGGCAGCGUGAGCCUACGGAAAAGACUCGACAUCCAGGGUUUGGACUUAAAGGCCCUAGUGUGGACUUCUUCAGUGCUCUGAUUCCUUGAAGAUUCUGUUGGCUUGUUCUCAAAACGUAAGCAACUUUCCAGUGCCAACAUAUUGAAUUCCUUGCCCACGGGGCAUUUCUCAUCAUCAUGGGUUGCAAUGUGUGCUGUUGUCUGUUGCUGCAUAAUAAACCAGUAAGUCUGCUUAAGUGGCAUGAAGCAACUAUUUUGUUAUGCACACGAUUCUAUGGAUCAGGAAUUUGGACAGCCCAGCAAGGAUGGCUUGUCUUUGUUCUGUGACGUUGGGGCUUCUGCUGGGUACCAGAACCAUCUGGCAAUUCCUUCACUCACUUGCCUGCUAUUUGGGCCAGGAUGACUUGAAGUUUAAGGCCACUUAGGACAGUCAACAGAGCAUCUACAAGUGGUCUUUCCAUGUGACUCAGGCUUCUUAUAACACAGUAGCUGGGUUCUGAUGGCAUGUUCCAGAAGGGAGCUUCCAGAGAGUGAACAUUGCAACAGAAGCAGGUGGAAGCUGCAUGGCCAUUUAAGGCCUAGAUGCAGAAGUCACAUAGCAUCAGUCCACUGUACUCUACUGGUCAAAGUAGUCAUAACCCAGAUUCAAGGGGAGGAAACACAGAUCCCCAUCCUUGGAUGGGAGAAAUGACAAAGAAUGUGUGGCCAUUUUUAAGAAAUCAUCACAUGUGCACCCAGUGCUAUGUUGUAGCACACUCCAAUUUGUGUAUUUCCAUCCAUUUCACUAAAGGUCUGAAAGCCCAGCAAGCAUGAAUUGAGGUCCAAGGCCCCACUGGUAAGGAGCAGGAGGCCAUUGGCUAAGUGGUUCAUUUAGCCUGUGUUUAGUGAAUUGGAUCCCUUUGUCUCUUUUUGCAAAUUGCCAGGCCCCGGUGGUCUCACCAGAUAUUAACUGAGGGGAAUUAACUGGACACAGGCAGGAAAUCCACUGUGUGAACCCCCCACCAGUCAGAGUUUAUGGAGGUAUGAGAUGAUGGGCACUGCACACAAAGCUCAAUGUGGUUUCUGUUUCUUUGGGUGAAAUCUUUUGAUACGAUUUCUGAUCAAGAGGUGCAGUCUGUCCAAUUUACUUCAACUUUCUUUAAUUUUUACUAAGCAAUACGAUUAUUAUUAUUAUUAUUAUUUUUAGACAGAGUCUCACUCUGUCGCCCAGGCUGGAGUGCAGUGGCGUGAUCUCUGCUCACUGCAAGCUCCACCUCCCGGGUUCACGCCAUUCUCCUGCCUCAGCCUCCCGAGUAGCUGGGACUACAGGCACCCGCCACCACGCCCAGCUAAUUUUUUGUAUUUUUUAGUAGAGACGGGGUUUCACCGUGUUAGCCAGGAUGGUCUCGAUCUCCUGACCUCGUGAUCUGCCCGCCUCGGCCUUCCAAAGUGCUGGGAUUACAGGCGUGAGCCACCGCGCCCGACUGCAAUAGGAUCUUUUUACCAGAGUGCUUUGGCUGUCGUGGACCACCUGACCUCUUUUCUGGGGACUUUGAAAUCAGGAAGUGUCCCAAGAAGUGCCCAGUGAGGAGUCCCCAAGGUUUCAGGGUGUAUCCCUUCUAGUGUGAUGGAUAAGCCCCUCAGCAUUUAACUAUUUUAGUAGGUGGGUUUGUUUUGUUUUGUUUUUUUCAUUUACCCAAUAGACAUUCAUUCAAUACUUACUCUAAACCCCAUGCCACUGUGUAGGACACAUUUCUUGCCCCUCAGGGAGCGCACAGAUCUAUUAAUGAACCAUGUAGCUUGUGAGGGGUAGACAAUGACAGCGAUGAGAUCAGAGUGCUGUGAGCAUGCUGAAUCCAGUCUUAGACUUGAUGUGGAGCAGAGACUGGUCAGGGCAGGCUUCCUGGAGUUGAGCCAGGUGAAGAAUAAGAGAAGAAGGAGAAAAGAUAGGCAUGAGUAGAGCAGAAAGUGCUUCUCAGAGGGAGGCAGCAUCUGCAGAGAUCCAGGGUCUGGAGAGACAAUGGAGAAUUCCAGAAAUUGGUGGCAUGUACCUCAAUCUGACUGGGGUUGGAAUGAACAGAGAUGAGGCAGGAGAGAUGCAGGGAUCAGAGCUAUCUCCAACCAGAUGGUAGUAUCCUGAAAAAUUGGUUAUUUUCACAUAUCUUUUGUCCUCUGAAGUUUCUAGGUUCAUGUCUUCAACUUUGAUGGUGCUUAAUAAGAAUAAUAACAUUCAUAAAGUGGUUUUAAUGUGUUAUUUUUGCAUACAGUAUUUCAUUCAGUCUUUAUAAGAACCUUUUGAAGAAAUAGGGCGGGUGGCAUGCAGCUCAGUUUACAGUUUAGGAAAAUCAAGAGGUAGGAAGAAUUGUGAUUUACACAAAAUCAGGGGCCUGAAACUCACACCCAAGUCUCUUGCCUCCAAAUCCCACACUCUUCUUACUAUGCAGAUUGCCUUGAUUGAGCUGCAAGGAGAAAGUUUUGUAUUGUAUUUGAGAAAACUCACAACACAGAAGAACAAUAUUUCAGCCUUGUCUGACAUGACAGAUCAGGUCUGAGCUGUGGCCCCAGGUUUUGGUGAUUGACCCAUGAGUCUUGUGUGUGUCUCUGGUGAGCAGAAUGCCCGGUAUAUGUGGGUCCCCAGUGGAUACAGGUCAGGGAGCAAGCAAUCCUCCACACUGGAAGAUGACUUAUUCACAAGGCUGGGCAUCCCUCUCAGACAAAACCCACUAUCAUAUCUCUUCUGGUUUAAUUCAUGUUUUGACACUCAGCAAAUUCCCCAGGAACUUAGCUGAAGAGUUUCGUGAGCCGGAAGUGCCUCUGAAAGAAGUGAGCAGAGAGAAGGGUCUCAAGAUGGCCAGGUUUUGGACUUACACCAUAGGCUCUACUGGUCCUUAGGCCUUUGGACUGAGGCUGGAACCACAUCCUCAGCUCUCCUGGAUCUCCAGCUUGGCAACUGCAGACCUUGGGACAUUUCAGAUUCCAUAAUCAUGACGAAGGCGAUGGCAGCAGUUUUCCAGGCUAGCUGUCUUCACAACCCGAUGGCUCUCUUCUUUUCUGCUGCCACAGAGACUGACUGUCUGCCUCCUGCAAAUUUGAAAUUUGGCAAACCUGCCUCCUCUGCUUCUCAGAACCAAACUGGGGCCAGGAGAACUUCUGACCCAAGUGUUGAUCACCUCUCUUCCUGCACCUCACUGUGCACCCUCUGCUCAGGAAAUGCCUUUGGCGUGUUGCUGACGUCUGUCCCUGCUCCAUCUCUUACCACCCUGCACUUCACCCUUUCCCACACAGGUUUCACCUGAUCUCAGCUGCUUUGGGCAGACCAUCCAGGUAUUUUGGAGUCUGAAAAGGAUCUCUGUCUCUAAGUCUGGUGCAAAUGGAGUUUGGGGGUUUUAAAAUUCAUUCUUCUUGCUGCUGUUUCACAAUUUCUCAGAAAAGGUGAAAAUGCAGACUUUGGCAGUUAUGUUCAAUAUGAAAAGUCUUAAUAAAGUAAUUUUUGACCUAAAGCCCACCAGUAUUUCUGGAACAAUUCAGUCAAUCUUUGAACUUGGUCACAUAAAGUCUUAUUAGAAACACAACGGGGAUUUUGGAGACAGGACUAGUGAACUUUGUGUAGUUAAAUAGAAACUUGAAUUGCCAGUGUAGAGUACU